GCAUUUGUGGCCUAAUGGUUAGUGUGUUGGACUCUGGAUACAAGGGGUCUGGGUUUGAGCCCUGGCUGACCGUGGUCAUUGCA